AGAGCGUUCAAGGAAGAAUUGGGAAUUAACCAAACAAGUUUAAAUGUUGAGGUUAAGACCUUGUUUUUGAGUAAACAUUAAGUAUUAAAACCUUACAAAAAUGGGAUUAAGUACAAAUGUGUAUUAAUGCUGAGGUCCACAGUGUUCUGAAUUUUUGGUGAAAGUUAUGAAUCUACAAAAACAUGCAUGAAAACACAAGUCCAAAGAUUUCCUAUGAGCAGGCUUUAUUUGUAUGUGUAAUAUUUUGCUUUUUUGUUAUAUUCUAUAUCAUUUUUAAUGUCAUUUUAUUUUUCCUUAGUCACAUUGGCAAAUGAGGAAAAGAACAACUCCCUUUUAACACGAAUAAGUCUCCAGCAGAACCAGGUUAAGACCGUGCUGACCAUGAGUGGACCUUCCAGUGAUGCUGAGGGAUGAUAUGAUAAAAGGUACCCUGGGUGGUAUACUAUACACUGCAGGUAUUUUGUUGUUAGAGUUAAAUUUCCUAAAGUUUUACAAAAUGUAUGUAUUUUUACUGGAUACGAUGUCUGGUAUUAUUUGUACGGGUUCAGCUUUACUGCACUGGUGUCGUACUUUAAUGAUGUCGAGGUAAACUUGCUAGUUGCAGGAAUGUCUUAAAAUGCCAACAGUUAACUGGAGGUAAACAGUUCAUACACUUAAAGGAAUAAUUCACUUUAAAGUUAAAUUCAGUCAUUGCCUACCCACCCUCAUGCUGAUAAGAAGUCUGAUGUAGUUUUUUAAUCCACAAAACACUGGAGUUAUAGAGCAAAACAGUGUUCAGGAUUUUUUUCCAAAACAAUGGAAGUAUAUACAGAUCAGCAAUAAAACAUAAUAAAACACUCCCCUCCUCUACAGACCUGCAUUGUUUUGGAAAAAUCCUGAAAGCUUAGUGUUUUGUGUGUUUAAAAAAACUACUCUGGACUUCUUGUCAGCAUGAGGGUGAGUAGAUAAUGAAUAAAUUCUCUUUUAAAGUGAACUAUUUCUUUAAGCAAUAUUUAAAUAAUGCAUAAUUCAUAAUGAAUGCACUAAUGAAGGAUGAACGAUUCCUGUUGCCAAACUUAAUGUGAUUUGUUCACACUUAGUAGAUCAUCAUUCAAGGACUAUUAGUCCAGUUACUUCAUAUGUUGACUGAUAUUUGACAAGAUUAGCAGGAUUUCUUGGGCUUUAGUAUCAGCACAUCUUUUGUAUCCCUAUACCUUGGACUCAUCCCUGAUGGACUCAGCAGAGAGGACGUAUACCUUCUAAAGAUUUUAUUGGUUGCCAGUAAGAAGGCCAUCACAAAUCUAUGGCUUCAGAAAAGAUGCCCCAAUGUUGUUUUAUUUGUAGACAUUGUUAAACAGUUGCAUUUCAUGGAACAGAUGACAUAUUCAAUAAGAUUACAAAAAGAACGAGGUGAAAGGCGUUGGGAAAAAUGGUGCAAAUAUUUAGCCAAUGGUAUUGCAGAAUGUGAAAUGGUAAUUAACUACAUGAACUCUGGGACCUGGGCAUUUAUUGUUGCGUUUGUCUGUAUGAUUUAUGUUGUUGUUAUGUUGUUCUAAAUCAUAAAAAUUUAUACAUAAAAAUUGGUUAAAAAGAAUAGAAUAGCAGGAUUUUUUUUUUUUAGUAUAAAAGUUGACGGGCAAUACCUUAAUUUCCAUUAAAACUUCAGAGAGAAUAGAUCUGAUUGUAUUUUUGGAGAGAUUUGCAACACAGUAGGUGGAUUAUGAUAUGAUCAGACAUUUUUAAGCCCAGCAGUCUCAACCCUAAGCCUUGAGUGUAAAGAACAUUUAUUUUCUAACAAAAUAAUACCAUCAGGUGUCCAACAAAUUCUAUUAGGCCUAAUGCCAUAAAGAUUCAGAUGUUGUCCAUAAACCUUUAUACUAAGGAAAUCAAGCUGAUGUUGUAAAAUAUCAAUUAACAUAUGAAGUACCUGUGAAUUAAUAAUCCUCAAUUUAGGAUCUAUUAAGUGUGAAUUAAUAACAAAGUCAUAAUGGCUUUAUAACCUGUUAACUGUGAGCAACAUGAAUUGUCUGUCUUUAUUAGUGCAUUAGUAAUUCAUCGUGAAUUAUGCAUUAAUUAAACAUUCCUUAAGGCUAUGACUUGUAUCCCUCGAGUAGUGUUACCUUCAUAAAAUUCUGUGCAGUCACAGAGAUAGUAUAUCCUUCAGAUUUAUGAUACAAGACUUUAAAUUUUUGCUCCUCUUCAGGGAUGAUUAUAUUUUGAUGAUGUGAAAAUGUUAGGAACUGGGGGUGGAGAACCCAAGCGCAGGCACAAACAGACAGGCAGCUGGGUAUAAUAAUAAAUAAGGUUUAUUAAUCAAACAAAACUACAAACUGAAAACGGGACUGAAGUGGCAAAAGGGAAACUAAACGGCAGGAAACAACAGUGCUACAGAGGGAUACUCACACAUGAGGGAACAAGUGACUAAAGCAAAAGAACAAGCUGAGGUCCAAACAAACUACUGAGUCCAGAGGGAUAAUCCACAAAGGGGAGGGAAGCGGAGAAGUCCAAAAACUGAAGUAAUCCAGAGAGUAGUGAAAGCAGGAGAGCGACGACCGAAACAGCGUGUGUGUGUGUGUGUGUGUGUGUGUGUGUGUGUGUGUGUGUGUGUGUGUGUGUGUGUGUGUGUGUGUGUGUGUGUGUGUAUGAAUUGAGGUUUGGUUAGGGUUAGGGUAAGGAUUAAGUUUAGGCAAUCAGUUGUGAUGGUUAAGGUUAGGGUAAGGCUCUAGGAAAUGCAUUAUGCCUAUGGAUGUCCUCACUAAGAUAGAAGUACAAACAUGUGUGUGUGUGUGUGUGUGUGUGUGUGUGUGUGUGUGUGUGUGUGUGUGUGUGUGUGUGUGUGUGUGUGUGUUCUUGUACUUGCUACAUGGUGAGUACCAUUUUCUGCAUUUAACUAUCAAAAUGAGGACAUUUUUACAAAGUGAGGACAUUUUGACCGGUCCUCACUUUGAAACAGCCAUGUUUGAGGGUGAAGACUUGUUUUUAGAGAACAGGUAUGAAUUGAGGUUUGGUUAGGGUUAGGGUAAGGAUUAAGCUUAGGCAAUCAGUUGUGAUGGUUAAGGUUAGGGUAAGGCUCUAGGAAAUGCAUUACGCCUAUGGAUGUCCUCACUAAGAUAGAAGUACAAACAUGUGUGUGUGUGUGUGUGUGUGUGUGUGUGUGUGUGUGUGUGUGUGUGUGUGUGUGUGUGUGUAUAACAAUGAGCCAGCGAAGAACUGAGGGGAAAGGCAGUGCUUAAAUAGCAAGGCAGGGGACCAGGUGAAAUGAGUUGAGCUUGAUUGCAUCAGCUGACAGAACACAGUAGGCAGGGUGCAGCAGACAGAGGGAGCCAAAGGAAUAAAACAACAAAAGGGAGACUGGGGCAGAAUCCUCACAGAAAAGGAUAUGCUGUAUUUAAACUGAUAUCAUUUUGUGGUUAGAUUUGUACCUAAAAGUUUACUUAAAUUUUCUCAAAUUAAAAGUUUCUUGGAAAAUUGUCUGUUAUAGUUUGUCAGUAAAACGUGUGUUCAGCUUACUACACGGGGUUCAAAAUUGGAACAGUUUCAGAGUGAACUUGUGGACAUUUCUUGCUCGAUGUUCUUUCAGCCAUAGAUAUUUUGUGAUAUAUAAAACUUCAAAUAUUUGAUAUGUACAACCUCACAAAUAUCAAAUAAAGAGUUUAUAUAUUUGAAAGUUUUAA